rnacentral:rRNA from 1 species
AUUGAACGCUGGCGGAAUGCUUUACACAUGCAAGUCGAACGGCAGCACGGACUUCGGUCUAGUGGCGAGUGGCGAACGGGUGGGUAAUGUAUCGGAACGUGCCCAGUCGUGGGGGAUAACGUAGUGAAAAUUACGCUAAUACCGCAUACGAUCUAUGGAUGAAAGCGGGGGAUCGCAAGACCUCGCGCGAUUGGAGCGGCCGAUAUCAGAUUAGGUAGUUGGUGGGGUAAAGGCCCACCAAGCCAACGAUCUGUAGCUGGUCUGAGAGGACGACCAGCCACACUGGAACUGAGACACGGUCCAGACUCCUACGGGAGGCAGCAGUGGGGAAUUUUGGACAAUGAGCGAAAGCCUGAUCCAGCCAUUCCGCGUGCAGGAUGAAGGCCCUCGGGUUGUAAACUGCUUUUGUACAGGACGAAAAGGUUUCUACUAAUACUAGGAGCUCAUGACGGUACUGUAAGAAUAAGCACCGGCUAACUACGUGCCAGCCGCCGCCGUAA